rnacentral:rRNA from 1 species
CCUCCGCUUAUUGAUAUGCUUAAGUUCAGCG